rnacentral:tRNA from 1 species
UUUACUAAAGCGAUAUAUAUUGCAUUAAGUUUCGACCUUAAAAUAGAUAAUUUUUCUAGUAAAA